rnacentral:sRNA from 16 species
GUCAGCAACCCCGCCCUGAAGGACGGGGCUUGCGAGGAGAGAUCCGAGCAAGCCCGAUGUUGACCAGACCGAGCGGUAACCAGUCCGCUACGUUGAGUAGAAGUUAAGGACCCACCCCGGAAUACUUCCUCAGUUCCGGGCUCUGGA